rnacentral:rRNA from 5 species
UUUAUGGAGAGUUUGAUCCUGGCUCAGGAUGAACGCUGGCGGCGUGCCUAAUACAUGCAAGUCGAGCGAACAGACGA